UACGGGGGGGGCAAGCGUUGUUCGGAAUUACUGGGCGUAAAGGGCGCGUAGGCGGUUCGAUAAGUCAGCUGUGAAAACCAUGGGCUUAACUCAUGGCCUGCAGUUGAGACUGUCGGGCUGGAGUGUGGGAGAGGAGAGUGGAAUUCCUGGUGUAGCGGUGAAAUGCGCAGAUAUCGGGAGGAACACCCGUGGCUAAGGCGGCUCUCUAGUACGGUACUGACGCUGAGACGCGAAAGCGUGGGGAGCGAACAGG
rnacentral:rRNA from 1 species